GAUGAACGCUGGCGGCGUGCCUAAUACAUGCAAGUCGAGCGAACGGACGAGAAUCUUGCUUCUCUGAUGUUAGCGGCUGACGGGUGAGUAACACGUGGAUAACCUACCUAUAAUACUGGGAUAACUUCGUGAAACCGGAGCUAAUACCGUAUAAUAUUUUGAACCGCAUGGUUCAAAAGUGAAAGACGGUCUUGCUGUCACUUAUAGAUGUAUCCGCGCUGCAUUAGCUAGUUGGUAAGGUAACGGCUUACCAAGGCAACGAUGCAUAGCCGACCUGAGAGGGGGAUCGGCCACACGGGAACUGAGACACGGACCAGACUACUACGGGAGGCAGCAGUAGGGAAUAUUACGCAAUGGGCGAAAGCAUGACGGAGCAACGCCGCGUGAGUGAUGAAGGUCUUCGGAUCGUAAAACUCUGUUAUUAGGGAAGAACAUAUGUGUAAGUAAAUGUGCACAUAGUGACGGUACCUAAUAAGAAAGCCACGGCUAACUACGUG
rnacentral:rRNA from 1 species